rnacentral:misc_RNA from 1 species
GGUGUGUGUGUGUGCGCGCGCGGGCGUGUGAAUAUUCAUGGAAAGUUGGUGCAGAAAAGUACUUCGGCUUACUUCCCCAAACUGUGAAAAUGCCUUCUUCAAACUUCCCUCAGAUGUCGAUAAUGCCAAUCCUUUAAUGAAGACUAACGUCGAAGGAGGUUGAGGGAAUUCAGUUGAAGAGCUGUGGCUGCGGGCAGAGCAAUUGAUUUGGAGCGAUGGGUAUCGUUCAUCAAUUGAAAUGGAACAUGAGACUGAGAAUACAAUAGGAACUAAGGUUGUGGGGAAUAGCGGUUUCGGUAUUGGAAGGAGAGCGCGAGGUGAGGGAAGAGCAGAUGAAGAUUGAGGUGAAAAGAACUUUGCCAUCCAAAAACCGCAAGGCCAAAACCCGCCAGACCUGAGAGCCGAAACC